rnacentral:piRNA from 1 species
GAAAUGUGUGGCUCAAGCUAGCA